rnacentral:rRNA from 1 species
UACGUAGGUGGCAAGCGUUUAUCCGGAAUUAUUGGGCGUAAAGCGCUCGCAGGCGGUUUCUUAAGUCUGAUGUGAAAGCCCACGGCUCAACCGUGGAGGGUCAUUGGAAACUGGGAGACUUGAGUGCAGAAGAGGAGAGUGGAAUUCCACGUGUAGCGGUGAAAUGCGUAGAGAUGUGGAGGAACACCAGUGGCGAAGGCGACUCUCUGGUCUGUAACUGACGCUGAGGAGCGAAAGCGUGGGGAGCAAACAGG